rnacentral:rRNA from 1 species
AGUCUUGACAUCUGCCUGACCGCACCUUAACCGGUGCUUUCCUUCGGGACAGGCAAGACAGGUGGUGCAUGGUUGUCGUCAGCUCGUGUCGUGAGAUGUUGGGUUAAGUCCCGCAACGAGCGCAACCCCUAUCCUUAGUAGCCAGCAGUAAGAUGGGGACUCUAGGGAGACUGCCGGGGACAACCCGGAGGAAGGCGGGGACGACGUCAAAUCAUCAUGCCCCUUAUGAUUUGGGCUACACACGUGCUACAAUGGCGUAAACAGAGGGAAGCAGGCCAGCGAUGGUGAGCGAAUCCCAAAAAUAACGUCCCAGUUCGGACUGCAGUCUGCAACUCGACUGCACGAAGCUGGAAUCGCUAGUAAUCGCAGAUCAGAAUGCUGCGGUGAAUACGUUCCCGGGUCUUG